rnacentral:lncRNA from 1 species
ACGAGCCUAUGACCUGCUAGAUCCGGCCUUCUGAGUAUUCAAUUGUUAGUUCCCAUAGCUCAUGGAAAUAUGCGUGCCUACAGCCAGUGCUCAAUAACUCUUUGAAAAGUGGAAGGAUAAAUGAAUGAAGUUAUAAAUGGACAAAUGAAAGAAUCAAUACAAUGCCUUCUGGGAAGUUUUCACUGAGACUAUUUCUUUGCGAUAAUACUUUGAAGAUCCCCUCUGCCAUUAGGCACACCAGUUUCUCUUUAGCUCUGUCUCAUACAAUCCCCAGGGUCUAUAUUUUCUGCUGCUAGAAUUUUCUUAUUUAGUUUUGUUAUUUUCAAGAUUAACUUCAUUUGGCUUUGGUAUCAUAUCUUCCCAUUAGACUGUAAGAUCAUACUGGGGUGAAGAAACAGUAUCACCAUCUAACAUCUAAUAGAUUCCAGCUUGAAAAUUACAGAAAGCUUAUUUCUUGAGUCUCUGGGUAUGCAAAAUAAGUUGUUGAUCAGGGCAUAAUGGAAAUAAUGUGGGCUUUUCAAUUAGGACAGACCUGUAUUUGAAUCUUAGCAGUACCAUUUACUAGCUAAGGAUCUUUAGGCACAUUACUUUACUUUUCUUUGGGCCUGUUUUUUUUUUUUUUUUUUAAACAUGUAAGAAAAUGAGCAAUUGACCUCAAAAGUUGUUCUGGAAAUGAGCAGGACCCUAUGGGGCCUUCCUGAGACAGAGUUCUCCCCCAUAUCCUCUGCUUUAGCUCCUCUCUAAAGUACCUAGAUAAUACUAUCUGAUGCACAUUUCCUGACUUGUUUUACAGAUUUGAAAACCCUCCACCAAAUGGAGUAUUUUAACUAUUGAAGACCACGAGUACAUAGUGCCCAGGCCUACUGGAGCCUCAGGAUUGAUAACGUUAACCCCUGUGACACUGCCCUGUUACUUCACCAUCACCUAACCAGAGAAUUGUGCAUGAGCUGAUCACAUACCCUGAGACUUUGUUCCCUCACCUGGCCUUUAAAAAUGCCUUGCUGAAACCCAUAAGGGGAGUUGAGGUGUUUUGAGCACUAGCUGCCUGGACUCCUUGCUUUGCAAUCUGCAAUAAACACUUCACUUUACUUCACCACAACCUGGUGUCAGUAGAUUGGCUUUACUGCGUGCAGGUGAGAUGACCCCAGUUUGGUUUGGAAACAGUUCCUGAAGAUUAUACGAAGUAAACAUAUCUCACUUUGGAGUUCCCUGGCAGCUCACUGCGUUACGAAUCUGGCUUUGUCACUGCUGUGGCUCAGGUUGCUGCAGUGGGGCGGGUUUGAUGCCUGGCCCCUGAACAUCCGCAUGCUGCAGGUACUGCCAAGAAAAAAACCCAAAAAAACAUAUCUAACUUUGCCUAGCAUACUGCCUGGCCCAUGAUAGGUAGUCAAUACAAGGUGGCAAUUAUCUUAAUAUCUUAUAUUUGAUAUAAGAUAAGCACUUUCCAUUUUUACAAAGCAUUCUGCAAAAUCUUUCCUUACUCGUUUAAUAUAUAUAAUAUAUAUAAUACACGCGUACACACACACACACACACACACACACACACACACACCAUUAAUGACCUAAGACUCAAGUUCAACCAGAGCUUAUCUUCAGGCUCUGACUGACUGUUCACCAUGGACAUAGGCUUCCAUGCUUCAUGUCCUUCCAGGAGCCAGGCUAUUACCCAUAGAUUUCUUUCCUGGGCUUUUAUUCAGCAACUGCUAAUCAGGUAAGAGAGGUGCUUAAAUUCUAAAAAUUCUAGGAGUUCCCGUCGUGGCUCAGUGGUUAACAGAUCCGACUGGGAACCAUGAGGGAUCGAACCUGAAUCCUCACAGAUACUAUGUUGGGUUCUUAAUCUGCUGAACCACAACAGGAACUUCCAGUUUCCUCCCCUCUUAAAUGAAGGCAAAUGACCACUCUAACUAUCACAAAUAGUUGUUCGGAGGAUGUGAGAACCUAUAACUACACUGCUAAAGAUUCCCUUAAGGCCCUCCUCUGCCAAAAACUGAAUCUGAGAUCUAACUGGUUCUGAAGUGAUACUUAUCAAGGGCUCUGUGGAAUAUGCAGUUUAUUUCUAGGUUACUUGGUGGUCUGAAUGGUGGGACUGACACACAUUGUAGGGGACAUAGAUGCAAAUGACAUUUUGCCAGCAACGAGGUCUUCUGUUGAAAAAUUCCUUUUGUGAAUUGAGAGUCUCCCCAUAUGCUCAGCCACCCCAAGAGUAGCCAAAGACUUUAUUGCAAAAACAAAUAUCCCAUGUUAAUGCUGUGCCAUCUUGCUCCCUUACAGCAAGAGGAAUGUUUAUCUCCUCAUCAUUGCUUCAUGGAUUUCUGCAAAUAUUUCCAUGCCAGCCAUGGCUAUGGUCAUUUCCUCCAGCAAGUUAGAGGUCUACUGCUCUUUCCCUUCUUUAAUGUGUGUUUUAUAAUUUUUUUCUAAAUGCUAAAUGUGUUCUGCAUUUUAUUUUACUUUGCUUUCCAUCUAGAACAGUUGUCUUCUCUCCAUCAAACCCAGACUCCUCCUGCCUUCAAAACCCUGCUUAAGGUGUUCCCGUCAUGGCUCAGUGGUUAACGAAUCCGACUAAGAACCAUGAGGGUGCAGGUUCGCUCCCUGGCCUUGCUCAGUGGGUUAACGAUCUGGCGUUGCCAUGAGCUGUGGUGUAGUUUGCAGACGUGGCUUGGAUCCCGCAUUGCUGUGUCACUGGCGUAGGCUGGUGGCUACAGCUCCAAUUCAACCCCUAGUCUGGGAACCUCCAUAUGCUGCGGGAGCAGACCAAGAAAAGGCAGAAAGACAAAAAAAAAAAA